UACGGAAGGGGCAAGCGUUGUUCGGAAUUAUUGGGCGUAAAGGGCGCGUAGGUGGUCUUGUAUGUCUACCGUGAAAGCACACGGCUUAACCGUGUAGAGUCGGUGGAAACUGCAGGACUUGAGGUUGGGAGGGGCUGGUGGAAUUCCCUGUGUAGCGGUGAAAUGCGUAGAGAUGGGGGAGAACACUUGUGGCGAAGGCGACUCACUGGACAUGUAUUGACGCUGAGGUACGAAAGCGUGGGGAGCAAACAGG
rnacentral:rRNA from 1 species